CGAGUUUCAAUCGACAGUGUUAACCAGUAACCUUCAACCACUGCCCAAAAAAAAGAAAAAGAGGUCAAAGAAUUUCGAACUCUCUGCCAUUAUUAUUUCCGGUGGGAAUUCAAGUGGUUCGAUCAAAGAAUUUAAAAUUUUCUUGUGAAUCUGAAAAUAUGAUAUUCUUCGACGGUAAGGUAAGAGAAAGUGGGAAGAUACAGUCCUAUAAUUAUGCCUAAUAAAAAUGAACCCUUAAUUAUAUCCCUAAUUUAAAUUAUGGUAUAAAAAUGAUAAUUUGGUAUGCUUAAAUGUAAUAAACACAAACCUUAAACAUUGAGGGUACCUACAAUCAAAGGCAUAUCCUAUGGACCACUGGCACAAAGGUGCUUGAAUUCCAAGAUAUAAGAGAGGUCCACAAAGCACAAAAAUGAGUGCUGGAAAAUGCAAUUUGCUAAGAAUGGUGACUAGGUUUACUAUCUCUUCUUGUUGUUUGUUGCCAUUUGUACAGCUUUUUUCCAAUGAUAAAAGGCAGCAGAACAUGUUCUUUAAGCUUUUGUGUGGGCACCCCACAAAUCUCAUUCUGAUUUCCUUCCAAAAUACUUCAUUAUUGUUGUGCAUAUGCCAUAUGGGGUACAGUUCUCAUUAAAC
rnacentral:lncRNA from 1 species